GACGAACGCUGGCGGCGUGCUUAACACAUGCAAGUCGAACGCUGAAGCUCAGCUUUUGUUGGGUGGAUGAGUGGCGAACGGGUGAGUAACACGUGAGUAACCUGCCUCCUUCUUUGGGAUAACGCCCGGAAACGGGUGCUAAUACUGGAUAUUCACUGGUCUUCGCAUGGGGGUUGGUGGAAAGGGUUUUUCUGGUGGGGGAUGGGCUCGCGGCCUAUCAGCUUGUUGGUGGGGUGAUGGCCUACCAAGGCUUUGACGGGUAGCCGGCCUGAGAGGGUGACCGGUCACAUUGGGACUGAGAUGCGGCCCAGACUCCUACGGGAGGCAGCAGUGGGGAAUAUUGCACAAUGGGCGCAAGCCUGAUGCAGCGACGCCGCGUGAGGGAUGGAGGCCUUCGGGUUGUGAACCUCUUUCGCUCAUGGUCAAGCCGCAACAAUGGUUGUGGUGAGGGUAGUGGGUAAAGAAGCGCCGGCUAACUACGUG
rnacentral:rRNA from 1 species